rnacentral:rRNA from 1 species
ACCGAUAGUGAACCAGUACCGUGAGGGAAAGGUGAAAAGCACCCCGGAAGGGGAGUGAAAUAGAACCUGAAACCGUGUGCUUACAAGUAGUCAGAGCCCGUUAAUGGGUGAUGGCGUGCCUUUUGUAGAAUGAACCGGCGAGUUACGAUUUGAUGCAAGGUUAAGCAGUAAAUGUGGAGCCGUAGCGAAAGCGAGUCUGAAUAGGGCGUUUAGUAUUUGGUCGUAGACCCGAAACCAGGUGAUCUACCCUUGGUCAGGUUGAAGUUCAGGUAACACUGAAUGGAGGACCGAACCGACUUACGUUGAAAAGUGAGCGGAUGAACUGAGGGUAGCGGAGAAAUUCCAAUCGAACCUGGAGAUAGCUGGUUCUCUCCGAAAUAGCUUUAGGGCUAGCCUCAAGUGAUGAUUAUUGGAGGUAGAGCACUGUUUGGACGAGGGGCCCCUCUCGGGUUACCGAAUUCAGACAAACUCCGAAUGCCAAUUAAUUUAACUUGGGAGUCAGAACAUGGGUGAUAAGGUCCGUGUUCGAAAGGGAAACAGCCCAGACCACCAGCUAAGGUCCCAAAAUAUAUGUUAAGUGGAAAAGGAUGUGGCGUUGCCCAGACAACUAGGAUGUUGGCUUAGAAGCAGCCAUCAUUUAAAGAGUGCGUAAUAGCUCACUAGUCGAGUGACACUGCGCCGAAAAUGUACCGGGGCUAAACAUAUUACCGAAGCUGUGGAUUGUCCUUUGGACAAUGGUAGGAGAGCGUUCUAAGGGCGUUGAAGCAUGAUCGUAAGGACAUGUGGAGCGCUUAGAAGUGAGAAUGCCGGUGUGAGUAGCGAAAGACGGGUGAGAAUCCCGUCCACCGAUUGACUAAGGUUUCCAG